AACGCCCUCUUCGGAGGGAGUGGCAGACGGGUGAGUAACGCGUGGGAACCUACCAUACGGUACGGAAUAACUUCAGGAAACCGGAGCUAAUACCGUAUACGCCCUUCGGGGGAAAGAUUUAUCGCCGUUUGAUGGGCCCGCGUCGGAUUAGCUUGUUGGUGGGGUAAUGGCCCACCAAGGCGACGAUCCGUAGCUGGUUUGAGAAGAUGAUCAGCCACACUGGGACUGAGACACGGCCCAGACUCCUACGGGAGGCAGCAGUGGGGAAUAUUGGACAAUGGGCGCAAGCCUGAUCCAGCCAUGCCGCGUGAGUGACGAAGGCCUUAGGGUUGUAAAGCUCUUUCAGCGGGGAAGAUAAUGACGGUACCCGCAGAAGAAGCCCCGGCUAACUCCGUGCCAGCAGCCGCGGUAAUACGGAGGGGGCUAGCGUUGUUCGGAAUCACUGGGCGUAAAGCGCGCGUAGGCUGACUGGUCAGUUGGGGGUGAAAUCCCGAGGCUUAACCUCGGAACUGCCUCCAAAACUGCCAGUCUCGAGUCCGGGAGAGGUGAGUGGAAUUCCUAGUGUAGAGGUGAAAUUCGUAGAUAUUAGGAAGAACACCAGUGGCGAAGGCGGCUCACUGGCCCGGUACUGACGCUGAGGUGCGAA
rnacentral:rRNA from 1 species